ensembl:miRNA MIR6515 microRNA 6515
CAUUGGAGGGUGUGGAAGACAUCUGGGCCAACUCUGAUCUCUUCAUCUACCCCCCAG